ensembl:snRNA U6 U6 spliceosomal RNA
GUGCUCACUUUGGUAGGACAUAUACUAAAAUUGGAAUGAUACAGAGAAGAUUGGCAUGGACCCUGCACAAGGAUAACACGUAAAUUCACGAAGAGUUCCAUGUUUUU